CCUGCGGAAGGAUCAUUAUCGAGUUUUGAACGGGUUGUCUGCUGGCUCGCAAGGGCAUGUGCACGCCUGUCUCAUCCACUCUCAACUUCUGUGCACUUUUCAUAGGCCGGCUUGUGGGUGCGUUCGCGCACUUGUAGGUGUCGGGCUUAUGCUUUANUACAAACGAUUCAGUUUUAGAAUGUCAUACUUUGCUAUAACGCAAUUUAUAUACAACUUUCAGCAACGGAUCUCUUGGCUCUCGCAUCGAUGAAGAACGCAGCGAAAUGCGAUAAGUAAUGUGAAUUGCAGAAUUCAGUGAAUCAUCGAAUCUUUGAACGCACCUUGCGCUCCUUGGUAUUCCGAGGAGCAUGCCUGUUUGAGUCUCAUGGAAUUCUCAACCUUCNGCUUUAUUGANGAAGGCUUGGACUUGGAGGUCGUGCCGGCUCUCGUAGUCGGCUCCUCUGAAAUGCAUUAGUGCGAACGUUACCAGCCGCUUCAGCGUGAUAAUUAUCUGCGUUGCUGUGGAGGGUAUUCUAGUGUUCNCGCUUCUAACCGUCUUCGGACAAAUUUCUGAACUCUGAGCUCAAAUCAGGUAGGACUACCCGCUGAACUUAAGCAUAUCAAUA
rnacentral:rRNA from 1 species